UUUGCAAAGAAGUGGAGGAGAUGAGAUUUGACUUCCCAUCAGUGUCAAAAGUUGAGCAAUAGCCGAAGUAAAACCAACGAAUCACUAAAGUGUUUAUAAGAAAAAGUUUAUUGUGCAUCCACCAAAAAGGCCGUUUGGAAACCUGGAGCGCUUUAUUCUUCACAGUGGUUGGUUGUAAUAGUAGUUUUCAUAAGUGAGAGGGGAAUUGGUCAGUGGUCACCUCUUCCCAACCUUGGGAAACAGUUCAAGUUUUGCUUAUGAUUUUUCAGAGGCAUAUCCAAGAAAUGACCCAGGUGAAGUCAGUCUUGCAAAAUAAGCUCAGUUAAACAUUGCUUGCAUGACUAAACUGGUUUUGUUGACUCGGAAUUUUCAGGGCUGGUCUCAAUUUGUUUUUUAUUUUAACACUUGAAACAACCAAAUAAUGCUGACAAAUCCUAUGAACAAUGGUUUUAAGACUCUGGAAAUCAGGUAAUGAAGAACAGUCAUGCCUGAGAGAAGGGAGAGAAUGCAGGAAUUUAUAGGGGAUAGAAAGUUGAAGAAUUCAAGUCUCCUCAAUAUCAUAAUUAUUGACUGAAGACCUAUCAUGUAUCAGGCAGUUUGCAGAAGCUCCUUGACAACUGCACUUAAUCUUCAUGGCCACAUCAUGGGGUUGGUAUUUUGCUGGAUGAAGAAACUGAGUCACAGCAGAUCCCUUUCCAGAAGUUUGUGAUUAUCCCUUUCACUCAUCAACAAGAGCACUUGAUCACUUGAUAUGC